rnacentral:misc_RNA from 1 species
AACGCAAAUUGCACUGUUGGGUCCUCCCAGCAGUAUGUCUGUUUGAGUGUCAGCACUUUCCUUAGUAAUCAUCACCAUUUAUUUUAAUGGUGGAUUGAAUAUUGACACUUUAUGAUAAAAUAAUCAUCAUAAUGUGUUUAAGUAAAUUGAUUUUUUUUCUCUCUUUUUCAAUUAAUGGAAGCACACUUUUUUAACAUGUAAUAAUAGAUUAACCAUUGCUUACAUGCACAUUUUAAGCAAUAGCAAGGUGUUCUAUUAUUAUAAUUGUGUUGCACCCAAGAAAGAAAAAAAGAGAAUUACUAAAGAAAGUCAUCAACAAAAUUACUACAACAAAAUUUUAACAUCUUGACCUCAAAUUAGGCAAGGCUACCCGCUGAAUUUAA